GCGGGAUAGCUCAGAUGGCUAGAGCGCCCGGUUCAUACCCGGAAGGUCGUAGGUUCGAUUCCUAUUCCCG
rnacentral:tRNA from 1 species